UCGAUCCUGAUGUGUUCGUCCAUGAAAAAGCGUUUUGACCGAACACCUUUAUAAAAGGGAGCUUGUUGGUUUCUAUGUUGCGUGCACGCCUUACUUACAGGAAGCACAAUAUAUGUAGAACAGAGCACCCACCUGCCAUGAGCGGGAUUAAAACUUUAUACUGGACGGCACGAUCGGGAGAUAA
rfam:Virgibacillus chiguensis strain CGMCC 1.6496 genome assembly, contig: Ga0104465_101